ACAACCGGCAGUCAAGAGAAUCAUCAGUUCUCGUCGUCGCAUCGCCCACUCAACUCGCAUCCACCAUUCCACCCGCACCCCCCGAACUUCUCCGCCGUCCCAGCGCCGGCGCGACGCCGCAUGCCCCGGCAGAGCAAGCGCUGCUGCAAUCGCAUAUGCCCGUCGAGCGCCGCUUCAUCCUACGCAUUCGGCCGCCGCUGCCCCCGUCGCAUCUGCCUGGCUCCAAAAAUGCUCAUUUUUUGGGUCCAAAUUGGCUGAUCUUGCGACGGUGCUAGAUCUGGUAGCGGCGAAGGCAGCCAGCGGGGAGGAGUAGGUCCUCCAUGGCGGGCGGUGGCACGGAAGUGGGCGGUGAGGCGGCUCGGUGACCGGACGGCCCUCCUCCUCGCCGUUCCCUUCAAAAGACCCCUCCCCCUCCCCAAAUCCCCUUAGAGAGUGCACUGACAGAUAGAUGGAGUAAUUUCGCCUUAAUCCGUGGUGCUUCCCUUUCUCUACUUAAUCUGUGGUGGUUCCAAAUCCUCCUAAGAGUAAUUGAUGCCCAACAUUCUCCAUCUCAUUUUCAUUGCUGCUUCUCUGGCCACAGCGUUCUGCGUCUCCUCGAUGAGUAAUCAAUCCAUGUUUAGAGUUAAUUAGGAGUGCAUUAUUUUUUGCUAGUUCCUCAUUGCUACAAUUACUCCUGAUUGUGACCCAGCUUCCAAGUUUCAGUCAUUAUUUCUGGAACUUUUCUAUAAUUCGAGUACUAUGAUGAUGUUUAUCUUCUUAAGAACAAAGGAACAAGUGUGGGAGGAUGAUAUCUCUGCUGCUUGUUGUACUUCAAUAUUCCAGACCGUUGUUUAAGUUCUUGGAGUAAAUUCAGUGUUUAAACAUUUUAUUCUUGGCCACAACAAUAACUAUGUGAGUGUACUGUAAUCCAAGAGAUUGUUCUUCAUUCUUCUUGUAGGUAAUAGUUGUUACUGUUACUGUUAAAGACAUGGCUCUCUUGGUGCUGCAGCUUCUUCCUCGCUGUGCAGGGACGGCGGCGACGAGCUUCUACCUCGGCUACAACCACCUAGGUGAGUUCCUCCUCUUCUCUAUGG
rnacentral:rRNA from 1 species